UACGGGGGGAGCAAGCGUUGUUCGGAAUUAUUGGGCGUAAAGAGCUUGUAGGCGGUCUGUCGCGUCUGCUGUGAAAAUCCGGGGCUCAACCCCGGACUUGCAGUGGGUACGGGCAGACUAGAGUGUGGUAGGGGAGACUGGAAUUCCUGGUGUAGCGGUGGAAUGCGCAGAUAUCAGGAGGAACACCGAUGGCGAAGGCAGGUCUCUGGGCCACUACUGACGCUGAGAAGCGAAAGCAUGGGGAGCGAACAGG
rnacentral:rRNA from 1 species